rnacentral:rRNA from 1 species
GGCGUUCCAAACUAUCUGGCUUGAGUCCGGGAGGGGAGACGGGAAUUCCUGGUGUAGCGGUGAAAUGCGCAGAUAUCAGGAAGAACACCGGUGGCGAAGGCGCGUCUCUGGACCGGUACUGACGCUGAGGCCCGAAAGCAGGGGGAGCAAACAGGAUUAGAUACCCUGGUAGUCCCUGCCGUAAACGAUGGGCACUAGGUGUGGGAGGCAUCGACCCCUUCUGUGCCGUAGCUAACGCAUUAAGUGCCCCGCCUGGGGAGUACGACCGCAAGGUUGAAACUCAAAGGAAUUGACGGGGGCCCGCACAAGCGGUGGAGCAUGUGGUUUAAUUCGAUGCAACGCGAAGAACCUUACCGGGGUUUGACAUGUACAGGACAGGUGUAGAAAUACACCCUCCCUUCGGGGUCUGUACACAGGUGCUGCAUGGCUGUCGUCAGCUCGUGUCGUGAGAUGUUGGGUUAAGUCCCGCAACGAGCGCAAGCCUCGUGCCUAGUUGCCAGCGGGUAAUGCCGGGCACUCUAGGGAG